UACGUAGGGGGCUAGCGUUGUCCGGAUUUAUUGGGCGUAAAGAGCGUGUAGGCGGCCAGGUAGGUCUGCUGUGAAAACUCGAGGCUUAACCUCGAGAUGUCGGCGGAAACCAUCUGGCUAGAGUCCGGAAGAGGAGAGUGGAAUUCCUGGUGUAGCGGUGAAAUGCGCAGAUAUCAGGAAGAACACCCGUGGCGAAGGCGGAUCUCUGGGCCGAUACUGACGCUGAGGAGCGAAAGCGUGGGGAGCGAACAGG
rnacentral:rRNA from 1 species